rnacentral:piRNA from 1 species
GGUCAAUCUACAGAGCAAGAUCCAGGAU